UACGGAGGGUGCAAGCGUUAUCCGGAUUCACUGGGUUUAAAGGGUGCGUAGGCGGCCUGUUAAGUCAGGGGUGAAAGACGGUAGCUCAACUAUCGCAGUGCCCUUGAUACUGAUGGGCUUGAAUGUACUAGAGGUAGGCGGAAUGUGACAAGUAGCGGUGAAAUGCAUAGAUAUGUCACAGAACACCAAUUGCGAAGGCAGCUUACUAUGGUAUUAUUGACGCUGAGGCACGAAAGCGUGGGGAUCAAACAGG
rnacentral:rRNA from 1 species